rnacentral:rRNA from 1 species
CGUCGCCGGUAACGAGCGAGGAGUGGUUCGUUCUCGUAUUAAUUAGUUGGUGUUCAGGUAAACGCUUCGUGAGAGCGAGGCUAGUGUUGGGUUCUGGUGGUACCGACUGUUCACGCCGUUGACGCUGACGCGGCUGUUCUGGGUCACGCACUUCUUCCCGCUGUCGAUGCCGCAGCAGUAUCAACUGUGGCUCUUCUCCAUGGCGCAUGAUAAAGUGAAGUAGGUAGGCGGACAAGCCGAUCACCGAUCAAUCUCCUGUCUUUUUGAUCAGUCUAGCUACCGUUCAAUAGAUGCACGGCAGAGCCGUUCAAUAGCUCCACGUCCUCUGGCGCCUGUUGCUGCCGUUCACGUUCACGCCGUGGUCGACGUGGACGUGGUUGACGUGGACGCCGGUGAUUUCUCCGGAGAGCAGUGCAUGCGCAGAUGGGCAUGAUCAUUGGGCGGGGUUAUUUUCAGACAUGCACACACACAGAUGCAGAGAAGACAACAGCACGCUUUUGGACUUCCAAUCGACUACUACACACGCAUCCUAUAGCUUAGCCGCAACUAGCUAGGGCACAAGGGGACAUUGGUCACCGACUUGAAGUCCAACAUGAUGAUACACCAACACUCGGGCGUGCGAGACACGGUACACUGAAAGUAAAGCAC